rnacentral:rRNA from 1 species
UGGGGAAUUUUGGACAAUGGGGGAAACCCUGAUCCAGCCAUCCCGCGUGUGCGAUGAAGGCCUUCGGGUUGUAAAGCACUUUUGGCAGGAAAGAAACGUCGCGGGUUAAUACCCCGCGAAACUGACGGUACCUGCAGAAUAAGCACCGGCUAACUACGUGCCAGCAGCCGCGGUAAUACGUAGGGUGCAAGCGUUAAUCGGAGUUACUGGGCGUAAAGCGUGCGCAGGCGGUUCGGAAAGAAAGAUGUGAAAUCCCAGAGCUUAACUUUGGAACUGCAUUUUUAACUACCGGGCUAGAGUGUGUCAGAGGGAGGUGGAAUUCCGCGUGUAGCAGUGAAAUGCGUAGAUAUGCGGAGGAACACCGAUGGCGAAGGCAGCCUCCUGGGAUAACACUGACGCUCAUGCACGAAAAGCGUGGGGAGCAAACAGGAUUAGAUACCCUGGUAGUCCACGCCCUAAACGAUGUCAACUAGCUGUUGGGGCCUUCGGGCCUUGGUAGCGCAGCUAACGCGUGAAGUUGACCGCCUGGGGAGUACGGUCGCAAGAUUAAAAACUCAAAUGAAUUGACGGGG